UUGCAUGUACUGGUCCUCGGACAGUAAUUCAAUCUCUCUCUGACGUGGGGAGUUUUGAACGGUGUUAAACAUGCUAUAGUAACCGGAGUUUUCAGGGCCACCAGUCUCUAAAGUACAGGCUGAUUUGGUAGUAUAAAACUCCAACAUAU